UUAUGUGAAGCAGAUUAGUGGGAAUGACAAUUAGUUUUGGAGAAUUUCAGUUAUUAUAGAAGAAAUGUUUUAUAUAGUUUUUAAAAAUAGUACAAUAUUACCUAUUAUUAUCAUAAGUUAGGAAAGAAGAAGAGACAAUGAAUAUAUAAUAUACAAUUAUAGAUUGUAAUAUUUUAUUUGAUAGAAUGUGGAAGGCAUUGUAGCUUUCUUGGUUAUUUUAGUUGAUCAAGAGAUAGUUAUUUGUGUGACCUUAAUGUGAAAACUUAUGCAGAUAGUCUUUUUCCAUAUUUAAAUCUCCAUAUAUAGGAUUAUU
rnacentral:lncRNA from 1 species